UUCAUAUGGAUGCACAGAUUGGAAUUCUGUUAUCUUUUAAUGUGUGCAUGUCCCUAAAUGUCGCAGUGUACUUUUUUCUUGGUCUGAUACAGUAAUGUGGAUGAUAGGGAAAGAUGCCAACAAAAUGCUGAAAUCCAAGAGAGUUUGUUUACAAAAAUGCAUUCAUUAGGAUAUGCAUCAACAAGCUGCAUCUUAGGAAACACUGUCAAUGAAAAUCUGUGCAGGUUAUAAUGAGGGUCUGUGUGUUUUAGUUUACAAACUGACACGGAAAUCUGAAAAUAUGAAUUUAUGAGUGCAAACAGGUGGCACUAACACACACUGAAUACUUAUGGAGUCACCUAGAAGGUGUAAAGAGUUAAGUCCACGUGUUCUACUCUUGUAGAAAUGUGGUCUAAUAGGGAUCUAUCAGUAAUAUUAACUUGGCCUUUGUAGCCAAAACAACCAUGGUUUUUCUAAGUUGUUUGAAAACUGACAGCAAAGCCAUCUAGAGUUGAGACAGACAAAUCAAAAGAAUAAACUUUCAGAAAGCGAGGGAAGCAGUGGUAAUGAAAAGAUACAGGGCUCAAGACAACAUCUGGCAGAAUGUCAGCCUGAGCAGGAAAAAAGAAAGCUGGAUUCUGUAAGUGCCCAGAAAAUUAAUACCAUACACCCAAAAAGGGAGGAGGGUGGGCGGAACUGUCUUUGAAGCUUGGAGCUGUGAGGACCAGAGCCAGCAAAAAGUUGCUAGAUUUUUAAAAAUCACAGUUACAUCAAAAGUCAUUUAGGCUGAGUAAGGCUGGGGAAAGUAGUACGUAUGUCAUGUAGAAGUUGAGCCAUACGAUUGGACAGAGGUGGGAGGGCUGGCAAGCGAGAGAAAGAGUGAAGGAGACAGAGGGAAGGGUUGUGGCUAUAUAUCCAUGUUUUGAGGCUGUAAACGGAUGAGAUCAUAAGUGUUUUCCAGCAAGCAGCAGGAGCAAGGGGAAGAUUUGGAAGAAAAGAAGAAGGAAGAGGGACUCGAGAAUGGAGCAAGCUAGCAAGUUCCUUUUAGCUCUCUUGUUGGUUCUCCAGGCUACUCCAGAAAGAUCUGAGAAGACAGGGUCUGCCAAUGCAAGCAGAUACAAGCUUUUGAAUAUACUGAAUUCCUCCUUGAGUAAACAAAGAAUCUGGCAUCAUUAAAAAAAAAAAAACUGCUCGUAACUUAUGCCUCCUCUGCAACACUGAUCCAGAAAAAAAAAAAAAAAACUUUGCAGUCCUUGUUUUUGAGUCUUUCUUUUUCAAAGAGAGUCUGACUCAAGUAAUCUUUAGUAAAUUUAAAGGUUGGGACUUGUAAUGUAAUUAGGGAUUUGGAUCUUUUAUAUUCAGCUGUGGACGUUCUUUAUGCUUUCUUCCUCCUUUCUGCGAUAAAGUAUUGUGUUUGUUGUUUUUGAAACUGAGGUUUCAUGACCAUAUCUAAAACAAAGAGAUUUUAUUUUAUCGUAGGAGCCAUGUGGAAAAUACUGAGAAGUGGGUGAAACUCUUACUGGUGUCUGCUCCCCCCACCCCCACCCCCACCCUUGGCACUGUUGUUUUUCACCGAAUGUGUGAAAGUGAUAAGAGGGAUAUGCGAAGAUUUACUCUGGAGAUUCAGUUCAACAGCAAUCUGCUCACAUCUCAGCAUCAAAUUUAUUUUCCAAGCUGAACUGAACAGUCAGGCUGUCAAAUUCUGUCAGAGACCUCCAAAUCGAUUUGGCCAGUUUGGAUAAAAUGCGUAGGAACAGCUCUUUCUGAAUCGCUUCCAGAAUUCAGAUCAACCUGAUCGGACAGUUCAAUCUGAAUGGAAUCAGACUGAUUUUCCAAAUCAAGCAGGAUUCAAUCGAUUGUCUGAAUCACAUCAAUGAGGCAAACCUGAUUUUACCUGCUUCAUGCAGACCUUAGUGAGAACUCCCUAAAAGGUUAGGGAUCUCAUAUAUUCACUGAUUUUAAUCUGAUCUGAGUCUUUUUUU